rnacentral:rRNA from 1 species
CAAUAGCGUAUAUUAAAGUUGUUGCAGUUAAAAAGCUCGUAGUUGGACCUUGGACCUGGACAGGCGGUCCGCCUCACGGCGAGUACUGUCUUGCUGGUCUUUCCUCGUGGUGAUCUGUUGUUUCGGCAGCAGGGAACCAGGACCUUUACUUUGAAAAAAUUAGAGUGUUCAAAGCAGGCUCGACGCCGGAAUAUAUUAGCAUGGAAUAAUAAAAUAGGACGUGCGGUUCUAUUUUGUUGGUUUUUGGAAUCGCCGUAAUGAUUAAUAGGGACAGUCGGGGGCAUUAGUACUCACAUGCUAGAGGUGAAAUUCUUGGAUUUUGUGAAGACUAACUUCUGCGAAAGCAUUUGCCAAGGAUGUUUUCAUUAA